AGAUAUGAUGAUGAGAAAGAGUGUUUUGGCAAAGGAGAUGAUUAAGUAGAAGAUAUGAUGAUGAGAAAUAGUGUUUUGGCAAAGGAGAUGAUCAAGUAGAAGAUGACGAGAAAGAGUGUUUUGCGAAUGAGACUUUGAUAUAUUUAGAAAAGGAGAGAAGUAAACUUGUGAAUUAUGUAUACAAAACUUGUGACUUAUAUAGAAAAGGAGAGAAGUAAAGAGAAGGGGUUUAAUAGAUGAGAAGAGAAGAAAGAUCGUGUUAGAUAUGGGUCUUGUAAUGGCUUUACUCUUUGAGUUGAGUUGAGAUGAGAUGAGAAGACAAUUAUCUAACUUAUUUAUUACCUAACCACACAGUCCUAACCACAACCAUUCAUCACAACAAUUCACAAGCAUUCAUCACACUCUCUAACCACAACCUAACAUGCAUUUAUUAACCUUAACAAGCAUCUAUCAACUUUAUUACAGAGCUGAAAAUACAGAGACAAAGCAUUUACCAGUUUGAAGAGAUCGUGAGCGAUAGCUGAGAGACACACGGAUCAGACGGAGAAGCUCUCAAUGUCCUCGUUUGACACUCUCAACUCUUUAUUUAGUUUGGUAUAAGACUGUCCUUUUCCUGAACAAGAUACAUACAUAAAAAUAGAUUAGCCGUAAACUAACUUAAGAAGAAGAAGACCUGAGAUUCAUUGAAGUACCUGAGAUUCAUUGAAGUACCCAACUAACUAAUGAUAGAUAUUGCUUCCUGCUCAAUCUGAGAAAGUCCACAACUUGCGUAAACCCUAAUUUCACAAGAACCAAAGAUCAUAAGAAUAAGGAAGGUGUUUCAUUCUAAUACAGUGUUAGAGAAAAUAUACUAACCGCUUCUAUCAAACGUUUCGUAGUCCAUCACAAAGCUUUCAUCCCCAAUUCUUCAGAGAGUAGUUUCAGAGAUGAAGAUAGAAUCAAGAGAAAGCACACACCAAUUCGAGUUCAAGAGGAAGACGGAGGAGAUGCGGUGAUCGGUCUUCUGACGGAUGACUCGAGAGAAGACGGAGGAGAUGCGGUGAGGAGAACGCGAGUCGUCCUCCGUGGUGGUUUCCGAUCAAUCUUCUGGCGGAGAAAACGGACGAGACGUCGACGGGACCGACGGAGUCGUCGUCUUUCGUUGGUUUCGAUCUUCUCUUUCUCGUCUCUCGGAGAAAACAAG
rnacentral:lncRNA from 1 species